ensembl:snRNA LOC120097304 U6 spliceosomal RNA
GUGCUCACUUCGGCAGCACAUGUACUAACAUCGGAACGAUACAGAGAAGAUCAGCAUGGCCCCUGCGCAGGGAUGACACGCAAAUCGUGAAGCAUUCCAUGUUUUU